UACGGGGGGGGCAAGCGUUGUUCGGAAUUACUGGGCGUAAAGGGCUCGUAGGCGGCCAACUAAGUCGGACGUGAAAUCCCUCGGCUUAACCGGGGAACUGCGUCCGAUACUGGAUGGCUUGAGUUCGGGAGAGGGAUGCGGAAUUCCAGGUGUAGCGGUGAAAUGCGUAGAUAUCUGGAGGAACACCGGUGGCGAAGGCGGCAUCCUGGACCGACACUGACGCUGAGGAGCGAAAGCCAGGGAGCAAAGCGGG
rnacentral:rRNA from 1 species